rnacentral:rRNA from 1 species
UACGUGGGGUGCGAGCGUUGUUCGGAAUUACUGGGCGUAAAGGGCUCGUAGGCGGCCAACUAAGUCAGACGUGAAAUCCCCAGGCUCAACCUGGGAACUGCGUCUGAUACUGGAUGGCUUGAAUCCGGGAGAGGGAUGCAGAAUUCCAGGUGUAGCGGUGAAAUGCGUAGAUAUCUGGAGGAAUACCGGUGGCGAAGGCGGCAUCCUGGACCGGCAUUGACGCUGAGGAGCGAAAGCUAGGGGAGCAAACGGG